rnacentral:rRNA from 1 species
UACGGGGGGGGCAAGCGUUGUUCGGAAUUACUGGGCGUAAAGGGCUCGUAGGCGGCCAACUAAGUCGGACGCGAAAUCCCCAGGCUCAACCUGGGAACUGCGUCCGAUACUGGAUGGCUUGAAUUCGGGAGAGGGAUGCAGAAUUCCAGGUGUAGCGGUGAAAUGCGUAGAUAUCUGGAGGAAUACCGGUGGCGAAGGCGGCAUCCUGGACCGACAUUGACGCUGAGGAGCGAAAGCUAGGGGAGCAAACGGG